rnacentral:rRNA from 1 species
CGGCAUGCUUUACACAUGCAAGUCGAACGGCAGCGGGGGCUUCGGCCCGCCGGCGAGUGGCGAACGGGUGAGUAAUGCAUCGGAACGUGCCCAGUCGUGGGGGAUAACACAUCGAAAGAUGUGCUAAUACCGCAUACGUCCUGAGGGAGAAAGCGGGGGAUCUUCGGACCUCGCGCGAUUGGAGCGGCCGAUGUCGGAUUAGCUAGUUGGUGGGGUAAAAGCCCACCAAGGCGACGAUCCGUAGCGGGUCUGAGAGGAUGAUCCGCCACACUGGGACUGAGACACGGCCCAGACUCCUACGGGAGGCAGCAGUGGGGAAUUUUGGACAAUGGGGGCAACCCUGAUCCAGCCAUGCCGCGUGAGUGAAGAAGGCCUUCGGGUUGUAAAGCUCUUUCGGACGGAAAGAAAUCGCCGCCUCUAACAUAGGCGGUGGAUGACGGUACCGUAAGAAGAAGCACCGGCUAACUACGUGCCAGCAGCCGCGGUAAUACGUAGGGUGCGAGCGUUAAUCGGAAUUACUGGGCGUAAAGCGUGCGCAGGCGGUUUGGUAAGACAGGUGUGAAAUCCCCGGGCUUAACCUGGGAACUGCGCUUGUGACUGCCAGGCUAGAGUACGGCAGAGGGGGGUGGAAUUCCACGUGUAGCAGUGAAAUGCGUAGAGAUGUGGAGGAACACCGAUGGCGAAGGCAGCCCCCUGGGCCUGUACUACGUCUCCAAGC